rnacentral:rRNA from 1 species
ACCAACAGGGAUUGCCUCAGUAACGGCGAGUGAAGCGGCAACAGCUCAAAUUUGAAAUCUGGCUCUUUCAGGGUCCGAGUUGUAAUUUGUAGAAGAUGCUUCGGGUGUGGCUCCGGUCUAAGUUCCUUGGAACAGGACGUCAUAGAGGGUGAGAAUCCCGUAUGUGACUGGGUGCCUUCGCUCAUGUGAAGCUCUUUCGACGAGUCGAGUUGUUUGGGAAUGCAGCUCAAAAUGGGUGGUAAAUUUCAUCUAAAGCUAAAUAUUGGCCAGAGACCGAUAGCGCACAAGUAGAGUGAUCGAAAGAUGAAAAGCACUUUGGAAAGAGAGUUAAACAGUACGUGAAAUUGUUGAAAGGGAAGCGCUUGCAACCAGACUUGCACGCGGUUGAUCAUCCGGUGUUCUCACCGGUGCACUCUGCCGCGUUCAGGCCAGCAUCGGUUUUGGUGGUUGGAUAAAGGCCUAGGGAAUGUAGCUUCUUUCGGGGAGUGUUAUAGCCCUAGGUGCAAUGCAGCCUACUAGGACCGAGGACCGCGCUUCGGCUAGGAUGCUGGCGUAAUGGUUGUAAGCGACCCGUCUUGAAACACGGACCAAGGAGUCUAACAUCUAUGCGAGUGUUUGGGUGUCAAACCCAUACGCGUAAUGAAAGUGAACGGAGGUGAGAACCCUUAAGGGUGCAUCAUCGACCGAUCCUGAUGUCUUCGGAUGGAUUUGAGUAAGAGCAUAGCUGUUGGGACCCGAAAGAUGGUGAACUAUGCGUGAAUAGGGUGAAGCCAGAGGAAACUCUGGUGGAGGCUCGCAGCGGUUCUGACGUGCAAAUCGAUCGUCAAAUUUGCGCAUAGGGGCGAAAGACUAAUCGAACCAUCUAGUAGCUGGUUCCUGCC